rnacentral:rRNA from 1 species
UACGUAGGGGGCAAGCGUUGUCCGGAUUUAUUGGGCGUAAAGAGCGUGUAGGCGGUUUGGUAGGUCCGUUGUGAAAACUCGAGGCUCAACCUCGAGACGCCGAUGGAAACCAUCAGACUAGAGUCCGGAAGAGGAGAGUGGAAUUCCCGGUGUAGCGGUGAAAUGCGUAGAGAUCGGGAGGAACACCAGAGGCGAAGGCGGCGACCUGGACAGAUACUGACACUCAACUACGAAAGCGUGGGGAGCAAACAGG